AGCUGAGUGGGGAGGAGAGAGGGACAGAGAGCCUGCUUGCUUUGCUCCUUUAAAGCAAGCAGGCUCUCUGUCCUCUCUCCUCCCCACUCAGCG
rnacentral:miRNA from 1 species